rnacentral:rRNA from 1 species
UACGAAGGGUGCAAGCGUUACUCGGAAUUACUGGGCGUAAACGUGCGUAGGUGGUUGUUUAAGUCUGUUGUGAAAGCCCUGGGCUCAACCUGGGAAUUGCAGUGGAUACUGGGCGACUAGAGUCUGGUAGAGGGAAGUGGAAUUUCCGGUGUAGCGGUGAAAUGUGUAGAUAUCGGAAGGAACACCAGUGGCGAAGGCGACUUCCUGGACCAAGACUGACGCUGAGGCGCGAAAGCGUGGGGAUCAAACAGGAUUAGAUACCCCUGUAGU